GAUGAACGCUAGCUACAGGCUUAACACAUGCAAGUCGAGGGGUAACGAGAGGGAAGCUUGCUUUCCUUGUCGACGACCGGCGCACAGGUGAGUAACGCGUAUCCAACCUGCCCCCAACUAGGGAAUAACCUUGCGAAAGUAAGACUAAUACCCUAUAAUUUCCUCAGAUGUCAUCUGACGAGGAAUAAAGAUUUAUCGGUUGUGGAUGGGGAUGCGUCUGAUUAGCCUGUUGGCGGGGUAACGGCCCACCAAGGCAACGAGCAGUAGGGGUUCUGAGAGGAAGGUCCCCCACAUUGGAACUGAGACACGGUCCAAACUCCUACGGGAGGCAGCAGUGAGGAAUAUUGGUCAAUGGGCGGAAGCCUGAACCAGCCAAGUAGCGUGCAGGAUGACGGCCCUAUGGGUUGUAAACUGCUUUUAUACAGGAAUAAAGUUAGCCACGUGUGGUUAUUUGUAGGUACUGUAUGAAUAAGGACCGGCUAAUUCCGUGCCAGCCGCCGCAGUAA
rnacentral:rRNA from 1 species